rnacentral:lncRNA from 1 species
UUUGACUCCAUCCUGCAUCCAAAAAAGAAAAUAGCAAAAUUGCUGAAAGAGAAAUAAUGGGAUCAGUAGCACAGCCUGAGGAAGAUGAAACUGUCCAGAACUUCAUAUAUUGUUAGUAGCAGGGAGAACCUGCUGCAUGAAAUGCAACCAUAAACCUGUGUUAAACAUUUGAUUGAGAUAAAUGCCCUUUACUUGCAUUUAUGUGUAUUUAUUUGUGUUUAUUACUUGGAUAUUCUUUAUUUUCCUGCAUGCAUUUGAAUAUCCUUACUAUCCCUUUUUUUUUCUGGAACUCCUUGGAUUUUCAGCCAGGAGUGAGAAGUACGAUCUGUCCAUUAUGUUGUGCAGGGAAAAUAAUUUUUUUUAUGAAUCAAAAAAUGUGCUCUCUAUUUAGAAAAACACAAUAUAUCCUCACUCUAUGUAAACAAUCUGAUCCUCAGGUGGAAUGCAGCCAAAGGGUCUAUAAAUAGCAUCCUUAAUAAGGAAGGAGACAGAAGCGUUUAGAGUUCAUCUGGCAGCGCUCACAUACAGAGAAAUAGCAAAUGAGCUACCUGUAGCUCUUGCGCUCUAAAAAGCACCGAAGUGAUUUAUAAAGAAACUCAGAUGAGGCUGUGCUGACCAGACAAGAACAUUUUACAUGUGAAAACUACCGCAGGGAGCCCGAUGGAUAAUAAAAACCUUUCAUCACGUUAUGGUGCUUCCUUUAACAUUUCAUGAGCAUCUCACCGCUGUUAGAGUGUUCCCCAUUGCUGCUGUCAUAGACAGGAAGGCACUACAGAUUGCAGAUGGCAAACCGAGGAAGAAGGAGGCCAGCUGUCCCACUCAUGACUCCACUGGUACCCUGUGCCAGAGCAAGGUCUCCCACCAGACAGCAAUUGCAGUGGCAUGGAAACCUGGAAGUCCUACUUCCCUCUUCAAAACCAGGCCUCCUUCUUCUACAAGGCAAACAACAUCCUCCACAUCAGAACAAAAACUGAAUAGACAGACCAUCAAAGCUGUGUAA